CUUGUAUUCUGCUCUUUUGGUUUGCUCCUGCCAGCCCACCGGGUGCUGAAAAACUUUCCACAAGUUCUUUGUAGACAAGUCUUAGUUGGUACAGUUCUUACUAUAACUCUCCAAAUCAUCUUUCUGAUUGUCACUGAGCAAGGGCUCUCUCCACCUGAUGCUUGCAAAAGCCAGUACUGUGGUAUGCUGGUCUAAGAGGGGAGAAGCAGUUUAUUAUGCAAUCCAUCAGUAAGAAGACAGAAGGAAAGGCUCUCAGCUCUGUCUCCUGGAUCCAGGAGGCUGACCAGGAUGGUGGUGAUAUUAAGAGCUGAGGAAUUCAACUUGAAUGCAAAACGCAAUACUGCUUUCUUUUAAAAGAGAGAAGGGCAGGACACAACAGUAAAAAUGAAAUACUUUUCUCAUGUUGCCUGCGCUUUGCUCCAGGAAUGAAGCCAUUAGCUUCGGAUUACACGUUCACUUCAGCCAAACGACGGCAGAAACAAGAAAACAUUGAAAAAGUCGGUGCUUGAGAGAGGAGACCAAGGAAGACAGCCAGCCUCCGAGGAAGCUUGAAGGAUGAUCGCAGACAGGGUUGGAAGAUGGGUUAGGGAGUGCUGAGAAUAAAGCACCAGCCGAGAAGAUUCAAAACCAAGAGAGAAAGGGGGAAGGCAAAUAUCACUCUUGGAAGGAUGACGAGAUAGAGCAAGAGGAAAUCCCCAUGGCUUGACUGAGAGAGGAAACAAAGAAAAGCCCUUUUGGUUCUCAGGGACUGUGGAGAGAAGGCCAUGGGUAGGUUGCGACUGGUUUUCUAAGUUUCCUAAAGAAAUUGAGGCAGAGUGCCAGGCAAAGCACGGGUUGACUUGCCAGCAUGAAAGGCUGGGUAUCUUCAGAACAGCGAACAUGCAACAUGUUAGAAUCAGCCAGCACCCGCCAAGCACC
rnacentral:lncRNA from 1 species